rnacentral:rRNA from 1 species
CCUACGGGGGGCAGCAGUAGGGAAUAUUGCGCAAUGGGGGAAACCCUGACGCAGCGACGCCGCGUGAGUGAUGAAGGCCUUCGGGUCGUAAAGCUCUGUUGUACGGGAAGAAAAAAAUGACGGUACCGUACGAGAAAGGACCGGCUAACUUCGUGCCAGCAGCCGCGGUAAUACGAGGGGUCCUAGCGUUGUUCGGAAUUAUUGGGCGUAAAGAGCAUGUAGGUUGCCACUUAAGUCAGGUGUGAAAGCCCCGGGCUCAACCCGGGAAGUGCAUU